rnacentral:rRNA from 1 species
GAUGAACGCUGGCGGCGUGCCUAAUACAUGCAAGUCGAGCGAAUGGAUUAAGAGCUUGCUCUUAUGAAGUUAGCGGCGGACGGGUGAGUAACACGUGGGUAACCUGCCCAUAAGACUGGGAUAACUCCGGGAAACCGGGGCUAAUACCGGAUAACAUUUUGAACCGCAGGGUUCGAAAUUGAAAGGCGGCUUCGGCUGUCACUUAUGGAGGGGCCCGCGUCGCAUUAGAUAGUUGGUGAGGUAACGGCUCACCAAGGCAACGAUGCGUAGCCGACCUGAGAGGGUGAUCGGCCACACUGGGACUGAGACGCGGCCCAGACUCCUACGGGAGGCAGCAGUAGGGAAUCUUCCGCAAUGGACGAAAGUCUGACGGAGCAACGCCGCGUGAGUGAUGAAGGCUUUCGGGUCGUAAAACUCUGUUGUUAGGGAAGAACAAGUGCUAGUUGAAUAAGCUGGCACCUUGACGGUACCUAACCAGAAAGCCACGGCUAACUACGUGCCAGCCGCCGCCGUAA